rnacentral:lncRNA from 1 species
CACUGAUCUUGUUACUGGCAGCAGAAGAAUCUGCAUCUGAAGGAACACCAAGAUAAGAAGCACCUAAAGGGUCCCUCGCUGUCUGGAAAAGUACUGGCUCAUGAACAGAUGGUGUAGCUACAUCCACUGUUGUCCAUGCUACACUGUGGGAAGAUCCACAAGCAACUCGAGUGAUUUUCUGGCCUUCCAAGCCCUGUACAAGAGUGGGCUUCCUAUUGACUGUAGUAGUUCCAUUCCCUUGUUGCCCAUGGUCAUUGUCACCCCAAGCAUAAACCUGUCCAGUGUCAGUAACUGCCAGACAGUGGAGGGCACCUACUGCCACAUGCACGAUCUUUUUGCCCCUCAGACCCUCCACUACUUGAGGCUUUCGUACAUGUACAUCAGUGCCAUGGCCUAGCCUGAAGUAAUCUCCCUUACCCCACGUCCAUACCACUCCUGACUUGGUCAAUGCCAACGAGAACUGUGCACCACACUCGAUCUGACAAACGCCUUGGCCGUUUAGUCUUUCAAUGUUCUGAGGAAUAUUGCAUCCUUCACUUCCUCCUCGGCCCAGUUUUCCAAAAUCACCAUCACCCCAAGAAAACACCAAACCUUCAUCUGUCAAAGCAAGAGUCUGAGCAUCUCUGCUUCCACAAGCAACCUGAAUUACUCUGUGGCCAAGGAGCACUUUAACCAUCUUCGGCUUCAGCUGUGUAGUAUUAUCUCCAUGUCCUAACCUUCCAUAUUCUCCAAGACCCCACGUAUACAGUUCACCACUAGAGGUAAUGGCAGCACUGUGGGAGCUGCCACAAGCAAUAUCACGGAUACGUUUGGUUUUCAGUGCUUCUAUCAAUCUGGGUUUAUCACAAUUCAUUCGACUGAAGUGGCCAAGUUUGCCAUCAUCUCCUUCACCCCAUGAAAAUAUCUUUCCAUCUACAGUUAAUGCCAUGGCAUGUCGGCCGCCUGAGUGAACAGCCACCUUCUUUACAACGUAGUUACUGAGAGCUGUUAUCUGGCGGGGAAUAGGCACAGUUCCACUGGAUAUUCCUAAGCCCAACCUUCCAUUCGUGGCUUCUCCACAAGCAUAUACCUUACCCUCUACAGUCACUGCAAAAAGGCUUUUGGAUCCUCCAGCUACCUGUACAACAUUCAAGGCAGACAGGGUUUCAGAAAAUGAAGGAACCUUUAUCUUGGAGCCUUUCAGUCCUCCCAACUGAUCUUUGUCAUUCAGUCCCCAGACAAAAACUUUGGUUCUUAUUGUAGCUGCUGAUUCCAGCCCAGCUGCCUUCUUUCUAACAAGACUCCCUGUAUUAGCUUUGUCAUCAUCCUCUUCCUCGUUAUCAGAAGCAAGGAAAGGGACCGCUGCCAAAUCCUCA